rnacentral:rRNA from 1 species
AGAACGAACGCUGGCGGCGUGCUUAACACAUGCAAGUCGAGCGGAAAGGCCCUUUCGGGGGUACUCGAGCGGCGAACGGGUGAGUAACACGUGAGUAAUCUGCCCUUCACUUGGGGAUAACCUCCGGAAACGGUGGCUAAUACCCGAUACGACUGCCGAUCGCAUGAUCUGGUGGUGGAAAGUUUUUCGGUGGGGGAUGUGCUCGCGGCCUAUCAGCUUGUUGGUGGGGUAAUGGCCUACCAAGGCUUCGACGGGUAGCCGGCCUGAGAGGGUGACCGGCCACACUGGGACUGAGACACGGCCCAGACUCCUACGGGAGGCAGCAGUGGGGAAUAUUGGACAAUGGGCGGAAGCCUGAUCCAGCAACGCCGCGUGAGGGAUGACGGCCUUCGGUUGUAAACCUCUUUCAGUACCGACGAAGCGAAAGUGACGUAGGUACAGAAGAAGCACCGGCCAACUACGUGCCAGCAGCCGC